rnacentral:lncRNA from 1 species
CGAGGCUGGAUCCCGUGCGGAUCCCGUGGGAACCCCCGGGUGGAUCCCCCCAGCAGAUCCCGAGGCCAAAGCAGCCCCAAAAUCUCCUUUUUUCCCCCCAAUUUCCCGGAUCCUUUCCCGGGAUUCGGGAGCCCAGACCCCCAAAUCCCAGCCGGGGCUGGAUUUGUAUUCCCAAGUUUUGGGGUUUUAUUCCCAAUUUUUGGGGUUUUAUUCCCAAUUUCUGGAUUUUUAUUCCCAAUUUCUGGAUUUUUAGUCCCAAUUUCUGGGGUUUUAGUCCAAAUUUUUUGGGUUUUAGUCAAAAUUUCUGGGGUUUUAUUCCCAAUUUCUGGAUUUUUAUUCCAAAUUUCUGGGGUUUUAUUCCCCAUUUCUGGGGUUUUAGUCCCAAUAUCUGUAGUUUUAUUCCCAAUUUCUGGAUUUUUAUUCCCAAUUUCUGGAUUUUUAGUCCCAAUUUCUGGAUUUUUAGUCCAAAUUUUUUGGGUUUUAUUCCCAAAAUUUCUGGGGUUUUAUUCCCAAAAUUUCUGGAUUUUUAUUCCCAAUUUCUGGAGUUUUAUUCCAAAUUUCUGGGGUUUUAUUCCCAAUUUCUGGAUUUUUAGUCCCAAUUUUUUGGGUUUUAUUCCCAAAAUUUCUGGAUUUUUAUUCCAAAUUUCUGGGGUUUUAUUCCCAAUUUCUGGGGUUUUAUUCCCAAUAUCUGUAGUUUUAUUCCCAAUUUCUGGAUUUUUAUUCCAAAUUUCUGGAUUUUUAUUCCCAAUUUCUGGGGUUUUAUUCCCAAAAUUUCUGGAUUUUUAUUCCCAAUUUCUGGAUUUUUAUUCCAAAUUUCUGGGGGUUUAUUCCCAAUUUCUGGGGUUUUAUUCCCGAUUUCUGGAUUUUUAUUCCCAAUUUUCUGGGGUUUUAUUCCCAAUUUUCUGGGGUUUGAUUCCCAAUAUUUGGGGGGUUUUAUUCCCACUUUCUGGAUUUUUUUUCCCAUUUUCUUGGAUUUUUAUUCCCAUUUCCCCCAAAAAUUUUGUUAAAAAAAAAAAAAAAUUAAAAUCCCUGAGGGGAAUUUUAGGAGCAACUUCCCAAAAAAAACCCCAAAUCCUUCCUAAAAAACCCUAAAUCUUCAAAAAACCCCAAAAUCCACCCAAAAAAACCCAAAAUCUGCCCAAAAAACCCCAAAUCCCCCCAAACGUCCCAAAAUCGCUUCAAUUUGUGGAUUUUGGCCCCAGGGCUUCCCAGAAAUUCCAAAAUUCUUCAUUUCCCCCAAAUUCCCUCUGGCC